CCUACGGGAGGCAGCAGUCGAGAAUCAUUCACAAUGGGGGAAACCCUGAUGGUGCGACGCCGCGUGGGGGAAUGAAGGUCUUCGGAUUGUAAACCCCUGUCAUGUGGGAGCAAAUUAAAAAGAUAGUACCACAAGAGGAAGAGACGGCUAACACUGUGCAAGCAGCCGCGGUAAUACAGAGGUCUCAAGCGUUGUUCGGAAUCACUGGGCGUAAAGCGUGCGUAGGCUGUUUCGUAAGUCGUCUGUGAAAGGCGCGGGCUCAACCCGCGGAUGGCACAUGAUACUGGUAGACUAGAGUACUGGAGGGGGAAUCGGAAUUCUCGGUGUAGCAGUGAAAUGCGUAGAUAUCGAGAGGAACACUCGGGGCGAAGGCGGGUUCCUGGACAUUAACUGACGCUGAGGCACGAAGGCCAGGGGAGCGAAAGGGAUUAGAUACCCGAGUAGUC
rnacentral:rRNA from 1 species